rnacentral:snRNA from 23 species
AUACUUACCUUUUCGGGUGCCCAGCGAUCAUGCAGGCUGGCGCACUAAGGAGACUCCAUGCAUUGCACAGCGCGUAGGAGACUCUUUAUGGAUGUCCUUCGGGGCCUCCACUGGAGCAAUUUUUGUUCUCACACUUUUUAUGUGUCU